rnacentral:rRNA from 1 species
UGGGGAAUUUUGCACAAUGGGGGAAACCCUGAUGCAGCGACGCCGCGUGUACGAUGAAGAUCUUCGGAUUGUAAAGUACUGUCCUUGGUGAAGAUAAUGACUGUAACCAAGAAGCAAGCCCUGGCUAAAUACGUGCCAGCAGCCGCGGUAAUACGUAUGGGGCAAGCGUUGUCCGGAAUUAUUGGGCGUAAAGGGUACGUAGGCGGUUAUUUAAGUCUAAAUUAAAAGGCAUUGGCUCAACCAAUGUAAGGUUUAGAUACUGGAUAACUUGAGUAGAUGAGGGGAAAGUGGAAUUCCUAGUGUAGCGGUGAAAUGCGUAGAUAUUAGGAAGAAUACCGGUGGCGAAGGCGACUUGCUGGACACAAACUGACGCUGAGGAACGAAAGCGUGGGUAGCAAACAGG